UACGGAGGAUCCAAGCGUUAUCCGGAUUUAUUGGGUUAAAGGGUGCGUAGGCGGCUUAUUAAGUCAGGGGUGAAAGACGGUGGCUCAACCAUCGCAGUGCCUUUGAUACUGAUGAGCUUGAAUACACUAGAGGUAGGCGGAAUGUGACAAGUAGCGGUGAAAUGCAUAGAUAUGUCACAGAACACCGAUUGCGAAGGCAGCUUACUAUGGUGUCAUUGACGCUGAGGCACGAAAGCGUGGGGAUCAAACAGG
rnacentral:rRNA from 1 species